GCAAGUCGAGCGGAAACGAUAAAGAGCUUGCUCUUUAGGCGUCGAGCGGCGGACGGGUGAGUAAUGCCUAGGGAACUGCCCAGUCGAGGGGGAUAACAGUUGGAAACGACUGCUAAUACCGCAUACGCCCUACGGGGGAAAAGAGGGGACCUUCGGGCCUUCUGCGAUUGGAUGUACCUAGGUGGGAUUAGCUAGUUGGUGAGGUAAUGGCUCACCAAGGCGACGAUCCCUAGCUGUUCUGAGAGGAUGAUC
rnacentral:rRNA from 1 species